rnacentral:rRNA from 1 species
CGAAGGUGGCAAGCGUUGUUCGGAUUUACUGGGCGUACAGGGAGCGUAGGCGGUUCGGUAAGCCCUCUGUGAAAUCUCCAGGCUCAACCUGGAACAGUCGGAGGGGACUGCCGGGCUAGAGGACGGGAGAGGAGCGCGGAAUUCCCGGUGUAGCGGUGAAAUGCGUAGAGAUCGGGAGGAAGGCCGGUGGCGAAGGCGGCGCUCUGGAACGUUUCUGACGCUGAGGCUCGAAAGCGUGGGGAGCAAACAGGAUUAGAUACCCUGGUAGUCCACGCCUUAAACUAUGAAUACUAAGUGUCGGCGGGUUACCGCCGGUGCCGCAGCUAACGCAUUAAGUAUUCCGCCUGGGAAGUACAGCCGCAAGGUUG